rnacentral:tRNA from 1 species
UGGGGAAUCGUCUAGUGGUAGGACAGCGGACUCUGGAUCCGCUAGCGAAGGUUCGAAUCCUUCUUCCCCAGCCA